rnacentral:rRNA from 1 species
AUAUCAAUAAGCGGAGGAAAAAGAAAMCAACAGGGGAUUACCUCAGUAACGGCGAGUGAAGCGGUAACAGCUCAAAUUGAAAUCUGGUCCCCUCUGGGGGCCCGAGUUGUAAUUUGAAGAGGAUGCUUUUGGCGAGGCGCCUUCCGAGUGCCCUGGAACGGGACGCCACAGAGGGUGAGAGCCCCGUAUGGUAGGACGCCGAGCCUCUGUAAAGCUCCUUCGACGAGUCGAGUAGUUUGGGAAUGCUGCUCAAAAUGGGAGGUAAACCCCUUCUAAAGCUAAAUAUUGGCCAGAGACCGAUAGCGCACAAGUAGAGUGAUCGAAAGAUGAAAAGCACUUUGAAAAGAGAGUUAAACAGCACGUGAAAUUGUUGAAAGGGAAGCGCUUGCGACCAGACUUGCGCCCGUCGGAUCAACCGUCCCUCGUGGGCGGCGCACUCCGGCGGGCUCAGGCCAGCAUCAGUUUUCCCGGGGGGAGAAAGGCGGUGGGAAUGUGGCUCUUCGGAGUGUUAUAGCCCUCCGCGUAAUGCCCCCGGGGGGACUGAGGACCGCGCGUAAGCAAGGAUGCUGGCGUAAUGGUCGUCAGCGACCCGUCUUGAAACACGGACCAAGGAGUCGUCCUAAUAUGCGAGUGUACGGGUGUAAAACCCCUGCGCGUAAUGAAAGUGAACGGAGGUGAGAGCUUCGGCGCAUCAUCGACCGAUCCUGAUGUUCUCGGAUGGAUUUGAGUAAGAGCAUAUUGGGCCGGACCCGAAAGAAGGUGAACUAUGCCUGUAUAGGGUGAAGCCAGAGGAAACUCUGGUGGAGGCUCGCAGCGGUUCUGACGUGCAAAUCGAUCGUCAAAUAUGGGCAUGGGGGCGAAAGACUAAUCGAACCUUCUAGUAGCUGGUUUCCGC